UUCACUCUACAUCAAGUGUGGAGCGCUUUUGUAUGUUUUGUUUGUAUGUGCACUCAGUACUUGAUUUAUCUGUGAAGGAUAUCGUCUUUGGCGCCUGUGUCUUGCAGCUGAAAAGCUGACUGCGUGUCCAUGGUCUGCCAGUCUGCUUCGAGGCUCAGUGCGCAGUUCUCGGCAGCGGUGCACUGGCUCCAGGCACCCGAGGACAGGACUGAAGAUGCAGCGGGUGGUGAGGACAGCAAAGCAGGCAACUGGCACUUCAGUAACCCUCUCAGAGACAUUUAAACUGGAAGACUUCCGCGGAAAGCCAAGGACUCCUCGCACCCUGGACACUCACUCCCCCCCCCUCCCUCGGACGAAUCCAGAGAAACUGCCAGAACAGCAGCGACACGCGGCGCAUGUGGCAGGGCAUCCAGGCCAUCACCAACUACAGGAAGGCAACACCUGCCUGCCAUGAUGAUGUUUCCCUACCAGAUGCGCUGAACAACUUCUAUGCACAAUUUGACGCUCAGAAUGAUGUGUUGGUGAAGAAGUCCACCCCCCCUCACAACGACCAGGUUCUGUGUCUGACCUCUGCAUAUGUGAGGAAAACUCUUUGCAGAGUUAACACACGCAAAGCAGUGGGUCCAGAUAACAUUCCUGGAAGAGUGCUCAGAGACCGUGGAGACCAGCUGACAGAUGUCUCUCUGUCUCUCUUCCACAGCAUGUCUUUAUCCUGUCUUCCUUCUCUCACC